GAAUUUUAUUAAUAUUAAAUUAUUAAUAAAAAUAUAUUUAAUAUUAAUUUUGUUGGGGGGAUAUUUGAAUUAAUAAAACUUUAAAUUAAUUAAUAACAAAAAUUAAUGGGAUGAUAAAUUAUAUUAAAUGAUUUAAAUUAUAUUAAUAAAAGAAUAAAUUACCUUAGGGAUAACAGCAUAAUAUUUUUAGAGAGUUCAUAUUGAUAAAAAUGUUUGU
rnacentral:rRNA from 1 species